rnacentral:rRNA from 1 species
GUUUUUAGGGGACUGCGGACGACAUUA